ACUCAAAUGAAUUGACGGGGGCCCGCACAAGCAGCGGAGCGUGUGGUUUAAUUCGAGGCUACACGAAGAACCUUACCUGGACUGGACAGGCGCACGAACGAGGCUGAAAGGCCGAGGGCCGCAAGGCGUGCGCUCAGGUGCUGCAUGGCUGUCGUCAGCUCGUGCCGUGAGGUGUUAGGUUAAGUCCUGUAACGAGCGCAACCCCCAGGUCCAGUUACACGUUGUCUGGACCGACUGCCCGUGACAAGCGGGAGGAAGGUGGGGAUGACGUCAAGUCAGCAUGGCCUUUAUGUCCAGGGCUACACACACGCUACAAUGGCCGGUACAAUGGGUCGCCAAGCCGCAAGGCGGAGCCAAUCCAACAAAGCCGGUCUCAGUUCGGAUUGGGGGCUGCAACCCGCCCCCAUGAAGUCGGAGUUGCUAGUAACUGCCGGUCAGCCAUACGGCGGUGAAUACGUUCCCGGGCCUUGCACACACCGCCCGU
rnacentral:rRNA from 1 species